UCUUGGGGUGUGUGUGGAGAUUCCUCCCUUGGGCUGGGGAUGCUCCCCACGGUUACUCCUCAAGGUUGAGAGAAAGAGAUCUCCCCACAAGUGUUGGAAUGGGGGAUCGGAA